rnacentral:lncRNA from 1 species
AGUAAGCAGAAAAACAAGUUUUCAGCUUCCUGGAGUCCGGCGAGGAGGCUCAGAACUGCUGGCCUGGCUCUGGGAGGUGUCUCGAGGUGGGGACCCCUCUCUCCUGCAGCCCUGCCGUGCACUCUCUUGGCUGACGCCCCACUUGCUAGAACACAGGAAGGUUGCCUUGUGCAUUGGUUCCCUCCUCAUGCCUGACCGAUGAGCCACUGGGUAGAUACUUCUGGGUGGAAAUCGUGGUCCUGGGAAUGCAAAGACUGCUCUGCUGCCCGCCGCCUCCAGAGUCACUGAGGAGACUGAAGGUAUGCUGAGUCUUGAGCCCCCGCCUAGGAACUUUUCCUUUCUUUCUGGAAGCUUCCAGAAUUGCCUCCUGAUUCCAGGUGCUUGGAAACGUUGCCCCGAGAUGCCCGGAUGUGGGGCUUUACCCAUUUCACCGCGCUGGGUCCUCAGGGUCCUUUCCUUAUGGAUGCAUGUGUCCUGUCCGCUUGUCCUUCCGAUUUUCUUAUAUUUUUUCUUCAAUAGCAGACAAAAUCUGCUGGGGUUGGAAUGUCCUCGGGAUCCUCCUGUUCACACAUUCACUUAAGAAAUGUUUGUGGAGCACCCACCACAUGCCAGGUGCAGGACUAAGAGACGUCAUUCUGAAGUUACCCCAAUAACCAAUAGGCAGUCGCUACGGAGACCUGCACCAGGCAAGCAUGUGGGAGAAGGGCCUGAUCUGAUCUGCAGUCAAGGGAGGCUGCCCUGAGGAGGUGAUGAUUGGGCCAAGACCUCAAGGAUGUCUGGGAGUUGGCUAGAUGAAGGGGGAAAGCUGGCCUCAGAGAGUUCCCAUUGGGUGGGCAGCAGUGGGCCCAUUCAGGAGGAAUCAGACCCCAAGGCUCCAAGGAGGCCACUGGCUGAUCGGGCUGGAAAAGCAGAAGGUUGGCCCAGGGAGCCGUUGACGGCAGGCAGAGGACAGUGAAGGUCCCAUUGAGAGGACCACCCCCCGGCCCUGUCCUUGGCCGUGUCUCUAAGAUACUCCAUCUUUAGAGCAUCUGACGAGGUGGGGAGACGGUCGGCCCCCUCCACAGAUUAGGAAACAGGCCUGUGCCCAUGGCCUCGCUGCCCGGGCCUGCCUCAGGGCUCCACCCCUUGCACACGCAACCCCGAGAGCGAGUGCCUCGCUCCCCUCACCCGAGGCCCGUCUUUAUUUAAAACAUUGAUAUUUUGUUCAUCAUGAUUUCUUUUUAUUAAUUUUGAUCCUUUAAAAUGCUGCGUUAAAAUAUUGGCAAUUUCUUUAAAAACUAAACAUGCCGCCACCAUGUGACCCAGCAAUUGCAUGUGGGGCGUUUAUCCCAGAGAAACGAAGACUGUGUUCGCAGAGACCUGUACCCAAACACUGGCCGCCAUUUAGUGUGUGGUCACCCAAAGCCAGCAUCUGCCGGGACAUCCUCCAGGGGACAAACAGACGCACUGCAGCCCGUCCACACCGUGGAGCCCUGCUCAGCCAUGAAAAGGAAGAAACUAUUGAACGAACACGCGGCAAUGUGGGAACACCUCAGGGCGUCACGCUGAGUAAAAAGCCAAUCCUAAAGUUCACGUGCCAUAUGACCCCACGCACAGAGUCCUUUUGGAAUGACACAUUUUAGAAAUGGAGAACAGGUCAGCAGAUGCCGGGGCUCAGGGAGGGGGCUGGAGAGGGG